GGGAUAACCAAUCGAAAGAUUGGCUAAUACCGCAUACGCUCCGAGGAGGAAAGCAGGGGACCUUCGGGCCUUGCGUUAUUCGAGCGGCCAAUAUCUGAUUAGCUAGUUGGUGGGGUAAAGGCCUACCAAGGCGACGAUCAGUAGCGGGUCUGAGAGGAUGAUCCGCCACACUGGGACUGAGACACGGCCCAG
rnacentral:rRNA from 1 species